AUCUAAGUUUGUUAUUAGUAUGAGCUUUCAUGUGCAUGCACACUUCUUCAAAUACACACCUGAAGAAUGUGUAUCUGAAGAAGUGUGCAUGCACACGAAAGCUCAUACCAUUAACAAACUUAGUUGG
rnacentral:miRNA from 1 species